rnacentral:rRNA from 1 species
UACAGGGGAUGCGAGUGUUAUCCGGAAUCAUUGGGCGUAAAGCGUCUGCAGGUUGACUUUUAAGUCUUUGUUAAAGCUCUGGGCUUAACCUAGAAUAUGCAAAGGAAACUAUCUGUCUUGAGUAUGGUAGAGGUAAAGGGAAUUUCCAGUGGAGCGGUGAAAUGCUUAGAUAUUGGAAAGAACACCAACAGCGAAGGCACUUUACUGGGCCAGUACUGACACUGAGAGACGAAAGCUAGGGGAGCAAACGGGAUUAGAUACCCGCGUAGU